rnacentral:lncRNA from 1 species
CCCUUGUCCUCAUGGGGGACUUCAACUUCCCCAAUAUACACUGGGAAUACAGCACAACGCAGAAGAGGCAGUCUAGAACGUUUCUAGAGUGUAUGGAAGAUAACUUUCUUCUGCAGCUGGUGAGAGAACCUAUCAGGGGAGGUGCCCUGCUAGACCUGCUAUUUACAAACAGGGAAGGUCUGGUGGGGGAUGUGGAAGUUGGGGGCUGUCUUGGACACAGCAACCAUGAAAUGGUAGAGUUCUCAAUUCUUGGUGGAACCAGGAGAGGGGACAGCAAAACGGUGACCUUGGACUUUCGGAGGGCAGACUUCAAAUUGUUCAGGAGACUGGCAGGGAGGGUCCCUUGGGAUUUGGUCUUGGAGGGUAAAGGGGUCCAGGAAGGCUGGUUGCUCCUCAAAAAGGAAGUCCCGAAGGUGCAGGAACAGGCUGUCCCCCUGAGCCGCAAGAUGAGCUGGCGGGGAAGGAGACUAGCGUGGAUGAACAGGGAGCUUUUCCUGAGGCUCCAAGAGAAAAAGAGAAUCUACCUCCUGUGGAAGAAGGGACAGGUAACUCAGGGAGAGUACAAAGAGGUUAUCAGGAUGUGCAGGGAGAAAAUUAGAAAGGCAAAGGCCCAGCUCGAAUUAAGCUUGGCUGCUGGGAUUAAAGGGAACAAGAAACUCUUUUACAAAUAUAAUAACAGUAAGAGGAGGACCAAGGAGAAUCUCCAUUCUUUACUGGACGCGGCUGGGAAUGUGGCCACUGAGGACAAUGAAAAGGCUGAGGUUCUCAAUGCUUUCUUUAUGUCUGUCUUUAAAAGUCAGACCAGUUAUCCUCAGAGCGCUCUACUCUCUGACCUGGAAGUCUCGGAUGGGGAGUGGAAUAAGCCUCCCACGGUUCAGGAGGAAAUGGUCAGAGACCUACUACUCUGCCUGGACUGCCACAAGUCCAUGGGGCCGGACGAGAUCUAUCCAAGAGUACUGAGGGAGCUGGCAGAGGAGAUAGCCAAGCUGCUUUCCAUCAUCUAUCAGCGCUCCUGGUCAACUGGAGAGGUCCCAGAAGACUGGAGACUUGCCAAUGUGACUCCCAUCUACAAGAAGGGUUGUAAGGAGGAUCCAGGGAACUACAGGCCUGUCAGCCUGACCUCGGUGCCAGGGAAGGUUAUGGAACAGAUUGUCCUGAGGGAGAUCAUGCGGCAUUUGCAGGACAACCGGGGGAUCAAGCCCAGCCAGCAUGGGUUUGUGAAGGGCAGGUCCUGCUUGACCAACCUGAUCUCCUUCUAUGAUCGAGUGAUCCGUCUGGUGGAUGAGGGAAAGGCUGUUGAUGUGGUCUACCUAGACUUCAGCAAAGCCUUUGACACUGUCUCCCACGGUAUCAUCCUGGAGAAGCUGGCAGCCCGUGGCUUGGACAGGUACGCUCUUUGCUGAGUAAGGAGCUGGCUGGAGGGCUGGGCACAGAGACUGGUGGUGCGUCAUGGUUUUGUGAUUUUCGGUUAUUGGUAUUCCACAUCAUAACAUCAUGUAGUGGAUAUACCCGGUUCUCACAAGAGAAGGUCUACUAC